rnacentral:rRNA from 1 species
GAUGAACGCUGGCGGCGUGCUUAACACAUGCAAGUCGAACGGAAAGGCCCAAGCUUGCUUGGGUACUCGAGUGGCGAACGGGUGAGUAACACGUGGGUGAUCUGCCCUGCACUUCGGGAUAAGCCUGGGAAACUGGGUCUAAUACCGGAUAGGACCACAUUUUGGAUGGUGUGGUGGAAAGUUUUUCGGUGUGGGAUGAGCUCGCGACCUAUCAGCUUGUUGGUGGGGUAAUGGCCUACCAAGGCGUCGACGGGUAGCCGGCCUGAGAGGGUGUACGGCCACAUUGGGACUGAGAUACGGCCCAGACUCCUACGGGAGGCAGCAGUGGGGAAUAUUGCACAAUGGGCGCAAGCCUGAUGCAGCGACGCCGCGUGGGGGAUGACGGCCUUCGGGUUGUAAACUCCUUUCGCUAGGGACGAAGCGCAAGUGACGGUACCUGGAGAAGAAGCACCGGCUAACUACGUG